rnacentral:rRNA from 1 species
UCCCAGACUCCUACGGGAGGCAGCAGUGGGGAAUAUUGGGCAAUGGGCGCAAGCCUGACCCAGCAACGCCGCGUGAAGGAAGAAGGCUUUCGGGUUGUAAACUUCUUUUAAGAGGGAAGAGCAGAAGACGGUACCUCUUGAAUAAGCCACGGCUAACUACGUGCCAGCAGCCGCGGUAAUACGUAGGUGGCAAGCGUUGUCCGGAUUUACUGGGUGUAAAGGGCGUGUAGCCGGGCUGACAAGUCAGAUGUGAAAUUCCGGGGCUAAACCUCGCUCCGCCGUUGAAACUGGCGUUCUUGAGUGGGCGAGAAGUAUGCGGAAUGCGUGGUGUAGCGGUGAAAUGCAUAGAUAUCACGCAGAACUCCGAUUGCGAAGGCAGCAUACCGGCGCCCAACUGACGCUGAAGCACGAAAGCGUGGGUAUCGAACAGGAUUAGAUACCCCCGUAA